UACGUAGGUGGCAAGCGUUACUCGGAAUCACUAGGUGUAAAGCGCAGGUAGGAGGUUGGAUAAGUCUGUUGUGAAAGCUCCCGGCUUAACUGGGAGAGGCCAACGGAAACUAUUCGGCUGGAGUGCGGUAGAGGUAGCUGGAAUUCCCGGUGUAGCCGUGAAAUGCGUAGAUAUCGGGAGGAAUACCUAUGGCGAAAGCAGGCUACUGGACCGUCACUGACUCUGAUCUGCGAAAGCUAGGGGAGCAAACAGG
rnacentral:rRNA from 1 species